rnacentral:misc_RNA from 1 species
UUUUAAUUCAAUCUAAAUAGUCUUAUGUAGGACUCGUUGAAGCUUACAACUCAGGUUUCAAUAAUCUAAAUUAAUACUCCAUUUAACAUGGCUGAUGAAGUAUAUAUUGUAUCUGCCGUCCGUACACCAAUAGGUUCAUUUGGCGGUUCAUUGUCGUCUUUGAAAGCUCACCAGUUAGGCUCCAUAGUGAUUUCAGAAGCACUUAAAAGAGCUAAUGUCAAUUCAAAUGAAGUGUCUGAAGUUAUUCUUGGACAGACCCUUACAGCUGGACAAGGUCAAAAUCCAGCAAGACAAGCUUCGAUAAAUGCUGGAAUUCCAAUCACUGUACCUGCUCAUGGUAUUAACCUACUCUGUGGAUCUGGGCUGAAGUCUGUGGUUCAUGGAUACCAGUCAAUCAAAUGCGGAGAUUCUUCAAUUGUUAUUGCAGGUGGCCAAGAGAGCAUGAGUAACGCUCCUCAUGUUGUCAAUAUACGAUCUGGUGUCAAAAUGGGUAACACAGAAUUGAUAGAUACGAUGCUAUACGAUGGUUUGACAGACGCAUUUAACAACAUACACAUGGGCAUAACUGCUGAAAAUAUUGCUGAACAGUAUAAUAUUUCAAGGGAACUUCAAGACAAUUAUGCUUUUGAGUCUCAGAAACGGACAGCAGAAGCUCAAAAAAAUGGUUACUUCAAAGAUGAAAUAACACCUGUUGAGGUUAAAAUACGACAGAAUACCAUCGUAUUUGACACAGAUGAAUAUCCAAGAAAUGAUACAACUUUAAAUUCAUUAUCUGCAUUGAGACCAGCUUUUAAACCUAAUGGUGGUGUAGUCACUGUCGGAAAUGCAUCAGGAAGAAAUGAUGGUGCUGCAGUAGUUCUUUUAAUGAACGGAGAAGAAUGUAAAAAACGAGGUUGUACUCCAAUGGCUAAAAUCGUUGCUCAUGCUGUGUGCGGGCUUGAUCCAAAAAUAAUGGGUAUGGGACCAGUACCUGCUGUGUUUAAGACGAUUGAAAAAGCUGGUUGGACAAUGGAUAGCGUGGAUAUUUUUGAAUUAAAUGAAGCAUAUGCUGCACAUUCAAUUGCUGUAGAGCGUGAUUUAGGAAUAUCUUCAGAGAAAGUAAACAUUAAUGGAGGUGCCAUUUCAUUGGGUCAUCCUAUCGGAGCAUCUGGUGCUCGAGUAUUGGUUACGUUGGUGCACAUAUUGUUAAGGACCGGCAAAAAACGAGGAAUAGCAUCCUUGUGUAUUGGCGGAGGCAUGGGUAUUGCUAUUGCUGUCGAAACAUUAUAAUCAACGAUCAAUGUUAAUUAUUCUCUGUACAAAAGUACAUCAGACUGUAGGUUAAAUUACUGAGGGAAUAUAAUAUAUUGCGCAUUAUCAAACAAAGGAAAAUUAGUUUUGCUCAAAUCAGGGUUGUUAAUUUUUUUUUAAUCUUGUAUUUUAUUUAAAAUGUUUUUUUGUUAAUGGGUUAUGGGUUAUGGGUUGUGACCAAGUUUUCAGUAUUUAUUAUUGUUGAUAAUUUAAAUUUAGAUUAUUGUUAAUUCACAUUGAAAUAUUAGUUUAUUGAAAUUGCUUUUUAAAAAUAUUAUCCUGUUUUCAAAGUGUUGUAUAUUUUAAAUACACCAGUCCAAUUAAGAUUUUUUAAGUUGAUAAACUUAAGCAAAUUGUAUACCAAUUAAUUUUAAUAUGUAUACAUUUUUAUAGAAAACGAUUGUGUAAUAUUAGAGUUUUCUUGAAUAAAAAAUAAACAGCUAUGUCAAAUUUUCACCUAA